rnacentral:lncRNA from 1 species
GGAACAUCAAUGGUGCCAAGUGCCAUUUAAAAAUCUUUUCAUCUUCCUGUGUGUUGCUUCUAGAGAGGAAAUGUUCUAAGAUGUGGUUUCCAGUCUUGUAGAAAAAUGGCAUUUUCAGGCUGUGUGGGACUCUUACAUCAUCUAGUUUCAAUCACCUCAUUUUGCAGAUCAAGAAACUGAGAGUGAGAAACAAGGGACUGGCCAGAGUUACUCAGCUAGACAGUGUCAGACAACAGUGGAACUUGUGAAAAAUGCCAAAAUGGUUGAGCGUUUGCAGCUGAGACGCCUAUGAGCUAAUGAAGGUCAAGCAGACUAAGGCCCCGGGGAGACACAGCAAAGCUGGCAUCGGAAAUGAGAUCUGGCUUCUCAUAAUGAUUGGCAAACACACUGCCUAUUUACAGCAUAGAGACCCCAGUGGAGAGCUAGUUUAG